rnacentral:rRNA from 1 species
AGCGAACGCUGGCGGCAGGCCUAACACAUGCAAGUCGAACGAAGUCUUCGGACUUAGUGGCGGACGGGUGAGUAACACGUGGGAACGUACCUUUUGGUUCGGAACAACUCAGGGAAACUUGAGCUAAUACCGGAUGAGCCCUUAGGGGGAAAGAUUUAUCGCCGAAAGAGUGGCCCGCGUUAGAUUAGCUAGUUGGUGAGGUAAAGGCUCACCAAGGCUACGAUCUAUAGCUGGUCUGAGAGGAUGAUCAGCCACACUGGGACUGAGACACGGCCCAGACUCCUACGGGAGGCAGCAGUGGGGAAUCUGGCGCAAUGGGCGAAAGCCUGACGCAGCCAUGCCGCGUGAAUGAUGAAGGUCUUAGGAUUGUAAAAUUCUUUUACCAGGGACGAUAAUGACGGUACCUGGAGAAAAAGCCCCGGCUAACUUCGUGCCAGCAGCCGCGGUAAUAC